UACGAGUACCCCGAGCGUUAUCCGGAAUUAUUGGGCGUAAAGGGUGAGUAGGCGGUCUCAUUAGUCCUGUGUGAAAGCUUCCCGGCUCAACCGGGGAAACGCACGGGAAACGGUGAGACUAGAGCGCGCGAGAGGCAUGUGGAACUCUAGGUGUAGGGGUGAAAUCCGUUGAUAUCUAGGGGAACACCGAAUGCGAAGGCAGCAUGCUGGCGCGUUGCUGACGCUUAAUCACGAAAGCGUGGGUAGCGAAUGGG
rnacentral:rRNA from 1 species